GUGCUGUAGUGCUCUAUAGCUCAGUUGGUAGAGCGCAGGACUGUAAGAGGUUCCUCAUAUGAAAUGCUGUGAUCCUAAGGUAGCCGGUUCAACUCCAGCUCAAAGCCCCUCUUUAAUUUUCCAACCAUCAAUUUUUUAUUCACCCAGCCUAAAAGUCCUGAUUAUCAGUCAUGGGUCCUUGGCAAUGACUGUUGGGUACAAACUGUGAACCUCUGUUCUGAAGGUGGGACUAGGCUUUUGAUUGACAAUGUGGGUCCAAUAGUUGUUUGGGCAAAGCAUGUCGUCACAACCACUAUGUUUUCUGCGUUUGUGUGUAGAGAGCACCUUGAUAGCUCAGUAAGUAGAGCGCAUGACUGUAAGAGGUUCCUCAUAUGAAAUCCUGUGAUCCGAGGGUAGCCGGUUCAAACUCCAGCUCAAAGCCCCCUCUUUAAUUUUCCAACCAUCAAUUUUUUAUUCACCCAGCCUAAAAGUCCUGAUUAUCAGUCAUGGGUCCUUGGCAAUGACUGUUGGGUCCAAACUGUGAAGCUCUGUUCUGAAGGUAGGACUAGGCUUUUGAUUGACCAUGUGGGUCCAAUAGAUGUUUGGGCAAAGCAUGUCAUCACAACCACUAUGUUUUCUGCAUUAGUGUGUAGAGAGCAUGUUGAUAGCUCAGUUGGUAUAGCGCAGGACUUUAAGAGUUUCCUCAUAUGAAAUGCUGUGAUCCUAAGCUAGCCGGUUCAAAUCCAGCUCAAAGCCCCCUCUUUAAUUUUCCAACCAUCAAUUUUUUAUUCACCCAGCCUAAAAGUCCUGAUUAUCAGUUCAAGACCUUUGGCAAUGACUGUUGGGUACAAACUGUAAAGCUCUGUUCAGAAGGUAGGACUAGGCUUUUGAUUGACCAUGUGGGUCCAAUAGUUGUUUGGGCAAAGCAUGUCGUCACAACCACUAUGUUUUGUGCGUUUGUGUGUAGAGAGAACCUUGAUAGCUCAGUUGGUAGAGAGCAGGACUGUAAGAGGUUCCUCAUAUGAAAUGCUGUGAUCCGAAGCUAGCCAGUUUAAAGCCCCCUCUUUAAUUUUCCAACCAUCAAUUUUUUAUUCACCCAGCCUAAAAGUCCUGAUUAUCAGUCAUGGGUCCUUGGCAAUGACUGUUGGGUACAAACUGUGAAGCUCUUUUCUGAAGGUAGGACUAGGCUUUUGAGUGACCAUGUGGGUCCAAUAGUUGUUUGGGCAAAGCAUGUCGUCACAACCACUAUGUUUUCUGCGUUUGUGUGUAGAGAGCACCUUGAUAGCUCAUUUGGUAGAGUGCAGGACUCCAAGAGGUUCCCCAUAUGAAAGGCUGUGAUCCUAACAUAGCCGGUUCAACUCCAGCUCAAAGCCCCCUCUUUAAUUUUGCAACCAUCAAUUUUUUUAUUCACCCAGCCUAAAAGUCCUGAUUAUCAGUCAUCGGUCCUUGGCAAUGACUGUUGGUUACAGUGGGUCCCAUAGUUGUGUUGGCAAAGUGUGUCGCCGAAGCCACUAUGUUUUCUGCGUUUGUGUCUAUAAGCACUUUCAUAGCGCAGUUAGUAGACCAGAGGACUGUAAAAAGUUCCUGGAACGCUGUGGUCCAAAGGUCGCUGGUUCAACUCCAGCUCCAAACACCAGAUUUCAUUGGUGUAUGCACUGUUCAACCUUUUUCAUUGACCAUUUUGGUUCAAUAGUUAUAUUGGCAAAGUGUGUCGCCGAAGCCACUAUGUUUUCUGCGUUUGUGUCUAUAAGCACCUUCAUAGCUCAGUUGGUAGAGCAGAGGACUGUAAGAAGUUCCUGAAACGCUGUGGUCCAAAGGGCCCUGGUUCAACUCCUGCUCCAAACACCAGAUUCCAUUGGUCUAUGCUCUGUUCAACCUUUUUCAUUGACCAUGUGGGUCCAAUUGUAUUGUUGGCAAAGUGUGUCGCCGAAGCCACUAUGUUUUCUGCGUUUGUGUCAAUAAUCACUCUCAUAGCUCAGUUGGUAGAGCAGAGGACUGUAAGAAGUUCCUGAAACACUGUGGUCCAAAGGUCGCUGGUUCAACUCCUCCUCAAA
rnacentral:lncRNA from 1 species